AACGAACGCUGACGGCAGGCCUAACACAUGCAAGUCGAGCGAAGCCUUCGGGCUUAGCGGCGGACGGGUGAGUAACGCGUGGGAACGUGCCCUUUGGUACGGAAUAGCCCGGGAAAACGGGGAGAAAUACGGGAUGUGGGCGAAAAAGGAAACAUUUAUCGCCAAAGGAUCGGCCCGCGUUGGAUUAGGUAGUUGGUGGGGUAAUGGCCUACCAAGCCGACGAUCCAUAGCUGGGUUGAGGGGAUGAUCAGCCACACCGGGACUGAGACACGGCCCAGACUCCUACGGGAGGCAGCAGUGGGGAAUCUUAGACUAUGGGGGAAACCCUGAUCUAGCCAUGCCGCGUGAUCGAUGAAGGCCUUAGGGUUGUAAAGAUCUUUCAGUGGGGAAGAUAAUGACUGUACCCACAGAAGAAGCCCCGGCUAACUCCGUGCCAGCAGCCGCCGUAACAC
rnacentral:rRNA from 1 species